rnacentral:rRNA from 1 species
GUGGGUUGUACUAGAAGUCCUCAGGCUGACCGCAAGGAGGCAGAGGCCCAAGGUAUGACUCAUGAUUGGGGUGAAGUCGUAACAAGGUAGCCGUAGGUGAACCUGCAGAAGGAUCA